AAAAUGAAAUUUCUAAUUAAAUUAAAUUCCUCUAUAAAAAGACAACAAACGGGCAGCCUUAAUUUACAUCAAUCAUAUAAUAACUGCACAUGUGCAGUUGCCAGUGAAGUUUCAUUUUUGUCAAAAGAACACAAAGUGAAAUUUAGAUCGAAGAAGUUUCACUUUGGGCUAUAAAGUAUAUAUCUUAAAGUUUAUGAACGGUGACAAACGAGUUUUGACUUCACUUGGGACGAAAGGAAACUCUUACGUAAACGCCGCCCAAGAGAAUGGAAGAAAAAUCUGGAUUUCUAACCGGUUACACCUUACGCUCGACAUCAACAACAACCCAUUAGAAUAGAACAAGUGUCUGUACCAAACUACGCUGUCAUGUCUUGGCUAGCUUGUUUGUUUUGUUGUUGGCCAAUUGGUAUUGCAGCUAUAAUUAAAUCCAACGAGGUGGAUAAUGCACUUGUUGUCAAGGAUAUUCCACGCGCUCAACGAGCAUCAAAAGCUGCUAAGAAAUACGCCAUUGUUGCCGUUAUACUUAGCCUGAUUUUCAUACCUAUUGCCAUUGUACUAAUUCGUCAAAGUGUGUUGAAUGUGAUGAAUGCAAAUUGAACUAUAUAGUUUGUUUUAUGAACUAAAAUAGUCUACUUUAUGUUUACAAAGUUGUUAGUUUUAUGAACAUUGUUAGCCAUUGUAUAACAUGUACAUAUAAAUACAUUAGCGGCUAAGGCGUCUAAAACCAAUAUAAUUGCACCGUUGAUGAACAAAUGACGUAAAACAAUUUAAUCUUCAUGUAAUCCUUAGUUGAAAAUAAAACAGGAACUUUUUUUAUUUUUCUUUCUCGGAAAUUAUUUCUUUGCUAUAUUUAAAAAAACAAAAAAUGUCAUGACCUUAAGGAAUUUUGUCUUGAGUAAUAUUUAUAAACAACCAAAUGUUUGCAACAACCUGUAAGUUCAUAAAAAUUAGACCCAGAUAAGUAAAAAAUGAGAAAGGGUAAUGUUGAACACAAGUUAUGUUUGUAAUUGUGUUAUCUGUGCACAAAAUAUAUUUCUGAAACCGCCGCAAACUCCGUUUUUUAACGAACUUUUUUCUGCUUCUUCACGUAGUACGUAGACCAAUCACGUAGCCCGCAUUUUGUGAAUAACCAAUUUAAGUUCUUUACGGCCUCGGUAUGCAAAGAAAUAUGUAACAAGAGAAAAAAAACAACAGAAUUACACACGAAACACUGCCACGCUGUGUACACUUUACUGGAUUUGUGACAUACAGUAUAGCUUUACUAUAGCACUCCAUCUGGAGAUGCGGCACGGCUCACCUUCACUUUAGCGCUCAACAUGGUGUUUACCGAUUAAUUGCGGGUGGCUUACCCCAGUCUUUCCCUCUAGUCUAUUAUACUUACUCCCCA